GAAUUUAGGUUCAGGUGGGAAUGAGAUGUACCUCGUUCGUUGUCAGUUGAGCACUGGCUGCUUUGGGGCAUGCCACGCUUGUUCCAAACGUGAGGAUCCAGGAGCGCGGUGGUUCUUGAGGCAUCCCUGCCUGGCUCAGCGCAUGCCGCCUGGGAGGGGCAGGCUGGUUUCCUUGGCUUUAGCUUUGUAUAGACGAAGAAUCCUCAUACAGGGAGAUAUGUCACCUCCUGGGAAGCUCUUGUCAAAUGACACAGCUGAUGAGGACUUCAAACUCACCAUGCAGUGCUGUCCCAAGGAACAGAACACAAGAGCUCCUCCAAAGUCUUCUCCAGCAUCAUACCUGGGUUGCCUUGUCUCUGCCAGCAGCACACGUGCUGUCUCUCCUGGAGCACCUGAAAAUAGUGACAGCAUCUCCUUGCUGGGGGACGUCAUGAAAUGCCUCAUAGCAGCUGUGACUGAAAGGCAUCCAGGCUGUUGCUUGCUCCUUGUUCCCAAAAUGUGCCAGGCAUUUUCCAGGUGGAAGUUACGGCUGAAGAGACACGGGAGAGAGCAGGAGGGGAACUUGAGGUGGCAGGCACUUAGUGGAGAGGCUGCAUGA
rnacentral:lncRNA from 1 species